rnacentral:lncRNA from 1 species
CCCUGAAAAGACAUUAACAAGGUAGCUCAUAUGAAGGUAUACUGGAAUAGGUGUUUGAUCUAUAAUUGCCUGAAGAGAUCUAUCAAAUUCUAGUAAAGAUGUAUGUUAGGCCGAUAAGCCACCCAAUAACCGCCCUAUAAGAGCUAACCCGAUAUCAAUCCGCCCGAUAUCUUAUCGGGUGGCUAACGGAUUAANNNNNN